rnacentral:rRNA from 1 species
AGCAGCCGCGGUAAUUCCAGCUCCAAUAGCGUAUAUUAAAGUUGUUGCAGUUAAAAAGCUCGUAGUUGAACUUCGGGAUCAAUGGAUCGGUCAUGCCGUUGGUAUGUACUGGUCCUAUUGGUUCUCACCUUCUAAGGAACCUUAAUGUCAUUAAUUUGAUGUUUUGGGGAAUUAGGACUGUUACCUUGAAAAGAUUAGAGUGUUUAAAGCAGGCUCACGCUUGAAUACAUUAGCAUGGAAUAACGAAAUAGGACGUUUGAUUCUAUUUUGUUGGUUUCUAGGAUCGACGUAAUGAUUAAUAGGGAUAGUUGGGGGCAUUAGUAUUCAAUUGUCAGAGGUGAAAUUCUUGGAUUUAUUGAAGACUAACUACUGCGAAAGCAUUUGCCAAGGAUGUUUUCAUUAAUCAAGAACGAAAGUUAGGGGAUCGAAGACGAUCAGAUACCGUCGUAG